rnacentral:rRNA from 1 species
CCGUCGUGAAGAGGGAAACAACCCAGACCGCCAGCUAAGGUCCCAAAGUCAUGGUUAAGUGGGAAACGAUGUGGGAAGGCCCAGACAGCCAGGAUGUUGGCUUAGAAGCAGCCAUCAUUUAAAGAAACAACAUGACGUAACUUGCCUUUAAUAACAAAACGCGAACUGUCAGCAAUAUCAUCAUAUAUUGCAGCCAUACCUGAACCGGGUACUACAUGUGUGAUGAUUUUCAUAACAAUUAAUCUUGUUCAAUU